AUGUUUUAAAACCCGGGUCAAAUUAAAAACCCACCCUUUUAUAUUCCUAAACCCAAUUUCCAUCAGUUUUCACCCAUUUGCAAUUCCUUCGACAUCGAGCCCUAAAAUCUUCCACCAGUGACUCCCAUUUGCGAUUUCCUCUCUUCACUGUCGAUCAUCUCCUUUUCGUCGUCAACUUAUCUUCGUCAUUAGAGGUGGAGGCUUGCUUUCAUCUUCGGCAGCAGCUCAUCUUCGUCGUCAGGAAUCUGUGAUCUGGAAGUUUGGAUUUUGAAAUUUUUUUGGCUGACAUCAUCAUGCUGAUGUCACCAAGAUGACAUCACCAGUUGAAUCGGUCAACCCAAGACUCGACCAGUUUGCCAUGUUUCGCCCCGAGUUGGUUUUUAAGACAUUGGUUACAAGGACCUAGGGCCUUCGCUAGGCCAGGUCACCAAUUCAACUAUUCACAAAAACCCUAAAAAUCAAAGGCGGCGAUUGGCGAGUAGAUGUUGGGGGUUUUGGAGAGGAAGUGUCGGCGAGUUGAAAGGUGGCUACGGAGGUGAUUUUGGGCGAGUGAAACGACUGGAAAAUGCAAAAGUCAUGCAACACAACUACGUGUUGUCGACGAUUAGCGGAGCUAGGGGGGUGAGAUGGGUUUUGGUCAGGAGGUUGAGGGGAGUGUUUUUGUGGUGAUGAGGAGUGUUGUUGACACUCGAAAAAGACCCUAUCUGCCCUUGGUUGUUGAUGCCGAUUGUGAUUUUUUUUGCUGCAAAAUGGUUCAAUUUCGGUCAGAUCUUGGGCAUAUUUGUUGGGGAAUGGCUCAAAGGAUGAGUAAGAUUUGCAUUCGGUGUGUCGCCACCACCAACUAGUUGACUACCGAUUUGCAUUUGGAGUGUGUUUGCUAGAUUUUAAACCUAUAAGAUUGCUAUGUGAUUUUUUUAAGGGUGUGUUUGCUGGAUUUCAAAACUUCUAGACAUGUUAUGUCACGGAUUUGACUCGCCAGUCAAACCGGUUCAACUGAUCAACCUGGGACCCAACUACUUUGUCUGGUUUCACCUCGAGUUCGGUAUUAAAACGCUAGUUAAAUCAAAGCAAAUAUAUAUAACUUUGAAAAAGAGGCUUUGAGAAAAAAUAAUAACAAUAAUGUAUACCAUGAUAGAGACUUCACGUAGGGUUAAAGUCAUAGCACAAACAAGCCGCCUCGUGAAUUUACUAAGAAAGUGACCAAUCCUGCCAUUGUAGCGUAGAGAAAAUAAGUCUAUAUGCACAUCAUUCAAAUGGGGGAAAAUUUUCGCUAAAAUAUAGUCAUCUGCUAUUAAAUCUUGUAACGUACGCAAGGGAGAACUUAUAAUGUCAACUCCACAAUAUUCUAAGAGCAGAUAUUCAAAAUUUGGCCAUUUGGGCAUGUGCAUAUUAGAUGGAAAAAGUUAUAAGGCAAAAUUAUUCUGGAUGGAUUCAUCCUCUUCAACUUUGGGAAACAAAAGAAUUUUUGGAUUUCCAUUUAUUUUAGUAUUUUGUUUUAUGUUAUUUUCGUUUUAUUUUAGGUUUUCUAUCCGCAUAAAAUAGUCAAUUUCUUAUGUUAUAAGGAUUAUGAUUUCAAGCCUGCCUGUAUAUAGGCAUUAGAUUUCUUAUUUUAUUAGGAAUAAAUACUUCAUGGAUGCUGCACAAAAAUAUUGUUGCGAAGAAUCAUCACAGUUUUCGUGGCU